UACGUAGGGGGCAAGCGUUGUUCGGAAUUACUGGGCGUAAAGGGCUCGUAGGUGGCCAACUAAGUCAGACGUGAAAUCCCCAGGCUCAACUGGGGAACUGCGUCUGAUACUGGAUGGCUUGGAUUCGGGAGAGGAAUGCGGAAUUCCAGGUGUAGCGGUGAAAUGCGUAGAUAUCUGGAGGAACACCGGUGGCGAAGGCGGCGACCUGGGUCGAGACUGACGCUGAGGCGCGAAAGCGUGGGGAGCAAACAGG
rnacentral:rRNA from 1 species